CAGGUGUCAAUCUGAAUGUCAAUCUGACCCAAAAUACAAUUCAGAGAAAAGUGUGUGAUGGAAAUUUGCUCAGAAAAGAGAGAGGACGUGCCAGAACUAAAACAAUGAGGUGCUUCAUGAAACAUGGAUGAGUGUGGGCUUCUUCUCAACAUGAUCCAGUGAACCUGGUGACGUGUCCGGCAGAACCCCAGAGACUCUCUGGGUCCAAAAUCCAAUGUACAAGGUCACCAUGGGGUUCCAUAGAUAUGAGGAUAUCCGCCGCCUCAUACAGUUUGAUGACAAGAGGACCAGGGCUCUUCGACUGGAAACAGAC